rnacentral:rRNA from 1 species
GGGGGAUAUUGCGCAAUGGGGGCAACCCUGACGCAGCAACGCCGCGUGAAGGAUGAAGGUUUUCGGAUUGUAAACUUCUUUUAUUAAGGACGAAAAAUGACGGUACUUAAUGAAUAAGCUCCGGCUAACUACGUGCCAGCAGCCGCAGUAAUACGUAGGGAGCAAGCGUUGUCCGGAUUUACUGGGUGUAAAGGGUGCGUAGGCGGCUUUGCAAGUCAGAUGUGAAAUCUAUGGGCUCAACCCAUAAACUGCAUUUGAAACUGUAGAGCUUGAGUGAAGUAGAGGCAGGCGGAAUUCCCCGUGUAGCGGUGAAAUGCGUAGAGAUGGGGAGGAACACCAGUGGCGAAGGCGGCCUGCUGGGCUUUAACUGACGCUGAGGCACGAAAGCGUGGGUAGCAAACAGGAUUAGAUACCCUGGUAGUCCACGCUGUAAACGAUGAUUACUAGGUGUGGGGGGUCUGACCCCUUCCGUGCCGGAGUUAACACAAUAAGUAAUCCACCUGGGGAGUACGGCCGCAAGGUUGAAACUCAAAGGAAUUGACGGGGGCCCGCACAAGCAGUGGAGUAUGUGGUUUAAUUCGAAGCAACGCGAAGAACCUUACCAGGUCUUGACAUCCAACUAACGAAGUAGAGAUACAUUAGGUGCCCUUCGGGGAAAGUUGAGACAGGUGGUGCAUGGUUGUCGUCAGCUCGUGUCGUGAGAUGUUGGGUUAAGUCCCGCAACGAGCGCAACCCUUGCUAUUAGUUGCUACGCAAGAGCACUCUAAUAGGACUGCCGUUGACAAAACGGAGGAAGGUGGGGACGACGUCAAAUCAUCAUGCCCCUUAUGACCUGGGCUACACACGUACUACAAUGGAUGUUAACAGAGGGAAGCAAGACAGCGAUGUGGAGCAAACCCCUAAAAACAUUCUCAGUUCAGAUUGCAGGCUGCAACCCGCCUGCAUGAAGAUGGAAUUGCUAGUAAUCGCGGAUCAGCAUGCCGCGGUGAAUACGUUCCCG